rnacentral:rRNA from 1 species
CUACGGGACGCAGCAGUGGGGAAUGUUGCACAAUGGAGGAAACUCUGAUGCAGCAACGCCGCGUGGAGGAUGACACUUUUCGGAGCGUAAACUCCUUUUAUAUAGGAAGAAGCUGACGGUACUAUAUGAAUAAGCGCCGGCUAACUCCGUGCCAGCAGCCGCGGUAAUACGGAGGGCGCAAGCGUUACUCGGAAUCACUGGGCGUAAAGAGCGUGUAGGCGGAUUAAAAAGUCAGAAGUGAAAUCCUAUAGCUUAACUAUAGAACUGCUUCUGAAACUCUUAAUCUAGAAUAUGGGAGAGGUAGAUGGAAUUUCUGGUGUAGGGGUAAAAUCCGUAGAGAUCAGAAGGAAUACCGAUUGCGAAGGCGAUCUACUAGAACAUUAUUGACGCUGAGACGCGAAAGCGUGGGGAGCAAACAGGAUUAGAUACCCUCGUAGUC